rnacentral:rRNA from 1 species
GACGAACGCUGGCGGCGUGCUUAACACAUGCAAGUCGAACGAUGAAGAAAAGAAUUGAAGCUUCGGCAGAAAUUCAUUUCGGAUUAGUGGCCGACGGGUGAGUAACGCGUGAGCAACCUACCUCUUACAAAGGGAUAGCCUCGGGAAACCGGGAUUAAUACCAUAUAACAUUGCGACGAAGCAUUUCGAUGCAUUCAAAGCUACGGCGGUAAGAAAUGGUCUCGCGUCCCAUUAACCAGAUGGUGAGGUAACGGCUCACCAUAGUAACGAUGGGUAACCGGCCUGAUAGGGGGAACGGUCACACUGGAACUGAGACACGGUCCAGACUCCUACGGGAGGCAGCAGUGGGGAAUAUUGCACGAUGGAGGGAACUCUGAUGCAGCGACGCCGCGUGAGUGAUGAAGGAAUUCGUUUCGUAAAACUCUGUUCUAUGAGAAGAAAAGGACGGUACCAGAGGAGAAAGCUCCGGCUAAAUACGUG